rfam:Thiorhodovibrio sp. 970 genomic scaffold Thi970scaffold_2, whole genome shotgun sequence.
UAGCGGGUUAGAGUCCCGCCUGGGUAAUCGUGAGCCGCGAGCCCGGUAUCAAGCCUUACGGCGCGAAGGGUAACUGACGCGUCGGUGCGUAGGUGUUAGCUCUCAAUUUAGUCCACCGGCAAUUUUCCAAACUGUAUCGAGA